AGAUAAUACUUUUCCCAUCCACGGCUCAUAGAUACCAAUCCCAAAGUCAGUGUGAUCUAGCUAUGACAAUAGCAGUGAUGACCCUUGUGAUUUGCAGAGAGAAAAAUUGAUUUGGGAGAGAAGAGAAGAAAGCUGCAUUACGAGUAACAACGACAUCGAUUAGGUUAUGUUAUGAUAAAAUCGGAAACUUCGGAAACCAAAAUGUCUGAGACACAAGAAAAGCUAAAUUACGAUGACACGAAUUCCUUGAUCUGAGUCGUCUUUAUCAGAUUACUUUUCCAAUGAAGGAACAAGAGUUAAAAACAAGAAUCAAAAAGCUAAAUCAUCCAUACCCAGCAAAACGAACGAUUUCGCAAAACCCUAAAUCACCGACUCCAUAAAGACGAUACAAUGAGAAAUUGCACUCAUAGGAGUAUGAAUCCCCGAAUCAAUUCCGUUAUCCAGAAAGAACAAACCCUGAGUCUCAGUGCCUUCGAAUUUGCUUG
rnacentral:lncRNA from 1 species